UACGGGGGGAGCAAGCGUUGUUCGGAUUUACUGGGCGUAAAGGGCGCGUAGGCGGCCAGCACAAGUCGGUUGUGAAAUCUCCGGGCUUAACUCGGAACGGUCAGAUGAUACUGCUUUGCUAGAGUGCGGAAGGGGCAAUCGGAAUUCUUGGUGUAGCGGUGAAAUGCGUAGAUAUCAAGAGGAACACCUGAGGUGAAGACGGGUUGCUGGGCCGACACUGACGCUGAUAGCGCGAAAGCCAGGGGAGCAAACGGG
rnacentral:rRNA from 1 species